GCAGGGGCUGCACGGCCCCCAGGGCCCCACACAUUGGGGCAGGUAGGAGGGUGGUCUAGGGGAGACUCGAGGAGAGGAGAUGCUGUCGAGGCUCCGGAUGUGGGAUGGCCAGGAGUCUGAUGCUGCCACUUCAUUCUGGUAAUUGAGAAAAGCUAUGAGAUAAAUUCAUGCAAAUGAAGGGUCCCUUCAAGUUAUCCUGAGGACUCCAAAACUGUAAAAGAACUGGGUGGAAGAAUUCCUUUUAGCUCCCCACCAACAUCACCACUAAUAAUACCGCCUGGUUUCCAUGUAAGCCAACAAAUUAAGUGAGGAGCAAGAGUUAAAAAGGCCAACUGGAUCAGAUACCUUUGCCUUCUAUAA